rnacentral:misc_RNA from 1 species
UCAACCCUCAGGCCCGGCCUGGUGUUGGAGGACUGCGCACGCAGCCUCCCAAAGCGAGCGGCGGCGUCGCCCCCUACCGAACGCAGUAGUUUUCUCUCGUUCCGGGACCGGGUCGUCGUCCUGCCGGAAAACCCCCCACUUUUGU